AAAAGCGUAGAGAUGUGGAAGAAACGCCAGUGGCGAAGGCGACUGUUUUGGUCCGAAAACUAGGCAAUGAGGAGACGAAAAGCGUGGGGGAGCGAACAGGAUUAGAUAGGGCUGGUAGUCCACGCCGUAAACGAUGAGUGUUAAGUGUUAGGGGGUUUCCGCCCUUUAGUGUUGCAGGUAACGCAUUAAGCACUCCGCCUGGGGAGUACGGUCGCAAGACUGAAACUCAAAGGAAUUGAACGGGGGCCCGCACAAGCGGUGGAGCAUGUGGUUUAAUUGGAAGCAACGCGAAGAACCUUACCAGGUCUUGACAUCCUCUGACACCCCUAGAGAUAGGGCUUCCCCUUCGGGGGCAGAGUGACAGGUGGUGCAUGGUUGUCGUCAGCUCGUGUCGUGAGAUGUUGGGUUAAGUCCCGCAACGAGCGCAACCCUUGAUCUUAGUUGCCAGCAUUCAGUUGGGCACUCUAAGGUGACUGCCGGUGACAAACCGGAGGAAGGUGGGGAUGACGUCAAAUCAUCAUGCCCCUUAUGACCUGGGCUACACACGUGCUACAAUGGACAGAACAAAGGGCAGCGAGACCGCGAGGUUAAGCCAAUCCCACAAAUCUGUUCUCAGUUCGGAUCGCAGUCUGCAACUCGACUGCGUGAAGCUGGAAUCGCUAGUAAUCGCGGAUCAGCAUGCCGCGGUGAAUACGUUCCCGGGCCUUGUACACACCGCCCGUCACAGCACGAGAGUUUGUAACACCCGAAGUCGGUGAGGUAACCUUUAUGGAGCCAGCCGCCCGAUAUGANUNGUAANCGUUU
rnacentral:rRNA from 1 species